CCCUGCCAUUUGUACACACCGCCCGUCGCUACUACCGAUUGAACGUUUUAGUGAGGUACUUGGACUGGGCCUCUGGUGGUUCGCGCCUCCAGUGUUGCCCGGGAAGAUUCCCAAACUUGAGCGUUUAGAGGAAGUAAAAGUCGUAACAAGGUU
rnacentral:rRNA from 1 species